rnacentral:lncRNA from 1 species
UUUGCCUUCUUGGGGACCCAACCCUUCAAGAAAAAUGGUUUUAGGUUCCACCUUUGGGGCCCUCAAUCUUCAGAGAAACCCCACAAAGAAGGGAAAUAACAGUGAGAAGAAGAGUCACCCUCUCCUAAGCUUCUUGGCUCUUCGUAGGAAAAAGAAAACAACAGCAAGGCCUGAAUUUGCAAGGUAUCUUGAAUAUCUGAAGGAAGGAGGCAUGUGGGAUUUGAAGUCAAAUAAACCUGUCAUGCAUUACAUAUGAUCAUAUACUACUUUGCUUCGGGUUUCAAUGCAGAAUAUUAGUAUAUUUCGUGUAACAAUUUGUAUAGAGUAUGGUUACUUUUGGUAUUAGUCAUUCAUUUAAAUCAAUCGGGAACAUGCAAAUAUGUUCUUUUUCUCAGUGGUGAAUUGGAGAUUAAAUUUUUACAGAAUCCGUGUUGAUAAUGAUUUUGUUUCUGAUAUUUUUUUAUUCUAUUUCUGAUAAACUGCAAAAUUGCUGAUGUCUGCAACUAAUCAGUGGUUAUUUAUCUGGGAAUAAAAAAGUCCCAUGUUGUUCGGUUCAACUACUCAGCUAACGAUCAAAGUGGAAUUGAAAAUUUCUAUAAUUUAUGAUUCUGUGUGAUUAUCUUUUUGUGGCCAAUAAGUCCAAAAUAUUGUAGUUAUAAAGGCUUUAAAACGAACAAAAAUAGUUUCCCGAGGUGUGAGUAAUCACUGUCCGUAAGGACUUAUCCGCGGUGUAUUCCGCAAGUCCUCCAGGAUACAACAGGAACUUCCCGGUAAUUUCCGAGGAUCAGAACUAGCAAGUUUCUCUUUCAAAGAGUAAUAUCAAAUAGAACCCAGAGAUAUUAUAAUAUUAAAAUAAAGAGGAGAGAGAAAGUGAAAAAUGGAAAUUGGGGAAAUGAGAAGGUGGUGAUCGGAGGAAGAAGAUGAAGAGGUGUGUGGGAGAGAUGCAUUCUGAAUGAGGGAAACCCUUGCUUUUAUAGGGAAAAUGGUAGCAGCCCAAACGGCCACAACCCACGUUCCAGCAGCCAUUGGUUGCGCGAUUUCAGGUUCCAACGGCACCACUUCUUCAACCUCCGAAAAUCCAGCAAAGUGGAGGCGCAGAACUUCCAAGUCGUGCGGCACGACCCAAGGUGGGGAGGGCAACGUUUAGCUUUUGAAACUUGGAGUCAUUCUCCGCUUCGCUCUGCUUCCGUGAUUUCCUCCAACAGAAGCAUCGAAAGAUUAGGGUUCUUCAUCUCUGUUUUUCUGUUUUAUCUCCAUCUCUGUUUUUCAGUUUAUUUUGCAAAAAUUGAUUCUGUUUACAACAAAUAUCUCAUCAAUAAUAACUACAAGUCUAAAAAAACUAAACAACAUAGAAUGAGUCUCUGUCUAUUUUAGUAAAUGAAGGCUCAACCACAUAUAUACUCACUUUCCUUUUCUUAACAGUACUAGAGGGAGAGUUAGAGAAACUGUAAAAAACCGUUGUGCGAUUAGGAGUGUUAUAGUUUAGUUUUACUUCUCUGGGCCAAUUGGCUGGGAAAGACCGUUGGUUGUUGUUUUGCAGGAAAAUGAAAAGGAACAACAUUUCAAUUCAUAUAUGUUAAUCUCAUACAAACUGGGGAGUUGUUUCAAUGGAGAGUAUUCUGGGCCUGCUGUCAUGGGCAUUAACAUGGAGUCACAAUGGAGGAAAAGAUUAAUUUCUUGAACAUUAUUAACAACUUUGCAAAAACUUUAAACUGCAGCCAAAUGUCCUAGGAAGAUUUAUAAGGCUUUACUUACUACUUACUAAGUGGAUUUGUUAUCGAUUAAAAAUAGAACAUUAUUAAUUUCUGGAAACUUAGGAUGGUCAUGCACUAUACAAUAUCUAUCUCUAAACAAUAACCAACAAAACAUUAUUAAUUAUCACUUAACAACAAUGAAUAUAUAAAUCACAUUUUCAUAUAUGUACCCUUAUAAUUAGGCAAGUCACUUAGGCCUAUUAGUGCAACUCAGCUUUUAGACGUCGUUCGUAUUUUUAUUGAAUUUGGAUUCUCUUAGUUUUCUUUAAAAUGCAUUGUUUUUUAAAAUUUAAAAUAUAUUAAAAACGUUUUUAAUAUAUUAAUUUAAAGACUAGAGAACUUGGACUCGUUUUUAAUAGUCUGUCACAUUAUAUGAACACUAUAAAAAAAUCAUUUAAUAAAAACUAAUUUUAAAAAUAAAAAAUAAUUAAUUAUUAUAAUAAUUAAAUUAGAAAUAUUUUAGAGACUAAAAUAAUUGGUAGUUAAAAUCUUAUUAGUUAAUUAGAUACCAAUAUAGAAACUAUUUAAUAAUAGAAACUAAUUUAGAAACCAAAAUUUAUUUUAGUCUUUAAAAUUAUCUUUAAUUUAAUCACUAUUUUCUUUUUUUAAAAUUAUUUUUUAUUCUAGAUUUUCUGGUAUUGGAAGUUGUUAGACAUUGUUGCUGUAUAAUUUAUUCCCCACUCAUUAAUCAUGUAUUUAUCCUCAACAUAGUUAAUGUUAUGACUUAAGGUCAUACUUAUAUUACCGAUAAUUAGGUAUAUGUCAUAUUAUUUUGGCUAAUUAAAGUUACUUGACAUAAUAAUAUAGUAUAUAAGUCAAAUAAAAAGAAUUAAAUACAAUCAAAAUAUAAUUAAAUACAACUGAGAAGUAGAAAAAGGUGAUUAUCAUGAAAUAAAUUAUAACCAGAAAUUUGAGAACCAUACAUUCCGUCUCAAAUGUAUAGCAAAUAAAAAUCAAUUAAAAUAGUAAAUAACCUAAUAAGAAGAGAAAAUACAAGAAUUAAAUAUUUAAAAAUAUAUAAUACACUGCCUUAUUAGUAAAGACAAUUUUAAAAAUAAUUUAUAAAUUUAUAACAAAUUUAAUGAUUAUAAAUAAGUUACCUAGUAUCUUUACUUCCUGCGAAGUACAAAUUUUGAUACAUUUAAAAGAGUAUAACAGUGGAAACUACUCUAUUUGAUGCAUGAUAAGUUAAUAAUUGAAGUCAAAUCAAUAUGUAAUUUCGUGGAAGUGGACACAUAUUUUAGAUUUGGAUAUAAAAAAUUUAUGUUAUGGGGACGCCAAAACAGAAAUAGUCAACAAAAGUUGCACAACCUCAAUGUUUUCAAAUCACAUGUGCGUAGUAAAUAUUCAAACAUGAUUAUAGUAUUAUUAUUGACUGAAACAUCAUGAAGCUAUCCAAACUUGACUUCAAAUAUGCAGAUAUAUAGAACCCCCCACCCACAAUGUUGUGCUACACCAAGUUUUCCCAUUCAUCAUCCUAUUCCCACCAACCCUUUUGCUCUCACUCUUUGAACACUGACUACAACAUUCAAAAUCUUGUCUUUCACACAACAACCUCCAACCAUGUUUAGAUCCAUGAGUACUCGGAGAGGUCCUGGGAGGUAUGAGAGAUUAGGUAAAGAAUCAGUUACCACUGCACUUUUGAACGAGGGGCUCAAGAGGAGCACGAGUUUGCCUUCUUGGGGACCCAACCCUUCAACAAAAAUGGCUUUAGGUUCCACCUCUGGGGACUUCAAUCUUCAGAGAAACCCCACAAAGAAGGUAAAUAACAGUGAGAAGAAGAGUCACCCUCUCUUGAGCUUCUUGGCUCUUCGUAGGAAAAAGAAAACAACAGCAAAGCCUGAAUUUGCAAGGUAUCUUGAAUAUCUGAAGGAAGGAGGCAUGUGGGAUUUGAAGUCAAAUAAACCUGUCAUGCAUUACGUAUGAUCAGACACUACUUUGCUUCGGGUUCCAAUGCAGAAUAUUAGUGUAUUUUGUGUAAGAAUUCGUAGAGUUUGGUUACUUUCAGUAUUAAUUAGCCAUUCAUUUGAAUCAAUUGGGAACAUGUGAAGUUC